rnacentral:lncRNA from 1 species
UCGGAUAACGGGUAGGUAUAGAGUUAGGGUUUGCAGACUCUUUAUAUAUUUAUUCGUUCCCUCAUCAUUAUUUUAUAAUCUUGUGAGAGCCUCGCAACUUUUUCUUCAUUUUUCUUACAAAAAUUCGCAGGCCUUUAUUCACACAAAUCAGCUUUCUUGUAAAAUUCGUAGAAAAUUCAAUUCUUAUCGGAUUUCAAUGAUUCUUGAUGUUUCGGAAAGCUCUUUCAAUCUCCUACAACUUUCGUUCACAAUGUUUUCUCAGAUUCUUUUUCGAACUGUUCUCAUAAUCCCAAAACUUAUUCAGACCCUGUUUUUCGCUUCGAAUCUGAGUCAGCAGAUGUUUUAUUUGAUUCCCGAUUCGUUAUGAGUCCGUUUUCGACGAGCCAUACCUUUUCGGAAAGGUCUUUUCGUUCUCUGCAACUUUUGUGUUUUGCGUUUUCCAAAACAAUGUCGUUUAGGGGGUCAAAACAGUAUAUUAGUGAUCUGGGCAGAUUGGAUUCAUGGAGGCUUUUGGAGUUUUAGAGGAGAUGAUUGUGGUUGGUUGCUAAGGAUUGAUUAUAUGAUCUAAGAUGAUGUUAAUUAUUGGUUUUCGGUGUUGUGGUAAGUUUCUGAUUGAUCUUUCUGGUAUUUUUAAACUGAUGUGUUAUAUGUUUAUAUUUGAUCUAUAAAUUUGGGCUAAGUGAUUAUAUUUUGAAUUGAUUUUUGUUCUCAUAUAUGUGCGGUGUUGACGAUGAUUUCGGAACUCUCGAUUUAUGCCAUGGUUUGUGAAAAUAAGAAUAAGAAUAAGGACCGAGUCACCGGGUUAUAGUGACAGUUUUCAGAAAAUUCAGGACCGUUAUCACCGGGUUGUAGUGGUCGUGGUAUAAACUAUGAGUUCUGAGUUAUUGU